rnacentral:tRNA from 1 species
GCCGGGGAGUAGAUUGGUUUCUAAAGCUGUUUCAUAAGCAGUUAACGUGGGUUCGAUUCCCGCCCCCGGUACAA